CCUACGGGUGGCAGCAGUGGGGGAUAUUGCACAAUGGGGGAAACCCUGAUGCAGCGACGCCGCGUGUGGGAAGACGGUCUUCUGGAUUGUAAACCACUGUCCCCAGGGACGAAAAUGACGGUACCUGGGGAGGAAGCUCCGGCUAACUACGUGCCAGCAGCCGCGGUAAUACGUAGGGAGCAAGCGUUGUCCGGAAUUACUGGGUGUAAAGGGAGCGUAGGCGGGGAUGCAAGUUGGGUGUAAAAACUACCGGCUCAACCGAUAGUCGCACUCAAAACUGCAGCUCUUGAGUGAAGUAGAGGCAGGCGGAAUUCCUAGUGUAGCGGUGAAAUGCGUAGAUAUUAGGAGGAACACCAGUGGCGAGGGCGGCCUGCUGGGCUUUUACUGACGCUGAGGCUCGAAAGUGUGGGGAGCAAACAGGAUUAGAUACCCGGGUAGUC
rnacentral:rRNA from 1 species